GACGAAGCUCCGUGACUGCUGGUUCGGAUACUACUGUUCCUGCUUUGAGGCGCUUCAGGAUCUCAUUGCGACAGUUAUCAAAGGCCACAGAGAUGAUUACUCGAGUUAAAGAUAAACUUGUCGAAGCGAGCGGUCCUGGCGGGAAUGUCCACAUCCACCACCUCCCCAAGUCCUUCGCACAUGACUCUCAGCUGGUCCUCCCUGGUGCCAGCUGGUAAGUUGCGCACCACGACUGUCACUGCCUGGCUCUAGAAGAUAAAGACGGGGUGGACGGACGGGGGAAAAGAACGACUGAUUGAUUGACUGAUUCAUUUGUUGUGUUCUUAGGUAAGAGAGAUUAAAGCGAACAAAAAAAAAAAAAAAAAAAAAAAA
rnacentral:lncRNA from 1 species